rnacentral:lncRNA from 1 species
AUGGGUCACCAGCAAGGGAUGCAGCGGGCAGGAGGGGCAGUCCCCCUCCCCCAGGAGAGCUCUGGACCCAGAGCUGCCCCUGCUGCCCAGGGUGCGCUGGGAGGGGGCCCAGGGCCAGGCCUCCCCAGGGGCGGCAGGCAGUGCUUACAGGGGCAACCGCUUGGGGCCCCUUGGCUCGGACCACGGUCUUCAGGCCGCCGCCCCCACUGCGGGUCUUGUUCUUGGUGCUGCUGCCGCCGCCGCUGCCAGGCUCUUCAAACUUGCUGGGAGUGUAAAACUCCCCCCCAACCUGGAUGCACUUCUUGGAGCCAGCUGGGGGGAGAGGGGGGGCCGGGCAGGGGGCUGUACAGCUUGCUGUUCCUCCCCCCAGAGCUCUGGGGCCAGGGUCCUGCACAAGGAGGGGUCCACUCCCUGGGGAAGCAUGUCUCCCAGAUUCACGGCCUCUUGGAACCCCGGAAGGCAAGCUCACUUGCAGGGCAGACCAGACAGACGGACGGACAGCCCACGUGUAAGCGCAGCGACAGCCCUGGUGUGCGCGCGAGCGUGCGUGUGUGUGUGUGUGUGUGUGGACACGAAUGCAGUGUGCUAGGAGGCAUGUGAGCUGACUGGACACAGCAGGCAGGAAUGAGCGGGAACCCUGGGCAGCAGCCUUCGGUUGUGCUGGGGGGAGGCACCGUCCCCAGAGUCGGCGCUGGGGUCUCUGGGGUCCCAGGCUGUAUCCAGCCCAGGGACCAAGGAGGACUCUCAGGAGGAAGCAGAGUCCAAGCCCGCCCUGAAGGACCGGGCACUCAGGUGGGCACAGGUGGGGUGAGCCUGGGCAUCCCCCCUUUCCCAGGAGCCGUGGAGGCUUUUGGGGGGGCCCUGACCCCUUGACCUCCAGCCUGCUCACCAUUGCCCAGCGGGAGGCACUGUGGCUCUGCAUUGCUGUCCGGCUUCUUGGAGGGCUUGGCCUUGGCCUGGGAGCCUGCUGGUGGGGGGUAGGGGGAGCAGAGACAGCCUGGCCCCCCUGUCCCUGCUGGCCAAGGCUGGGGGCAGGUGGAGAGCCCAGGUGGGAUCUCCCCAACUCCAGCAGGUCCCCUUGCUUUCCCAGCUCUGGCGCCCAUCAGGAGAGGGAAGGUACACCCCCAGGGGGCAGCAGGGCUGCCGGACCCAUCCAGGGUGCCCGGCCAAGUACCCAGAGGGCCCUCUGCUAGGCUGGCUCUGGGCCAAGCAGGAAGGGCAGAUGGUCCCAGGGCCUGGUGUGAAGGAGGGUGUCAGGCUCCCGGGGGGAAUCUGUGCCCCCUCCCCUCCCCCGCUCCUCACACUGGGUACCUGGGCUGGAGGUGGCCCUCGGGGACAGGGCUGUGGGCGGGGUGGCCCGCGGCUCCUCCAGGGCCUUCCUCUUGGCAGGGGGCCUGGGCAGCAGCACAGCGGCCUUGGAGCUGGCCAGGGGCUUCCUUGCCUUCCGGGGCUGGCUGAGGUCCACAUCUGGGGGGCACAGGGGCAGGCCCAGCCUCAGGCCCAGCUCGGACACCCUGUUCAGGUGGCUGAGGCCUUGGCCUCUUAGAACCCCAGGCGGUCUGGGUGACGUCCCUAAGCGCCCCCUCCCGCUCACAUCCAGCUGGGGCUCAGAGGACGACUCAGCUGCCCCAGCGAGGGAGGUGGGGCGGGGGCCCCCAGCCCCGGUGCCCCCACCUUUGGGGAAGCUGUCGAGGAUGGGCUGCAGCCUGGCAUAUCUCUCCAGGUUGUAGUCCUUGAAGAGAACCCUCCAGAAGUCCAGGAUGACGGCCGCGUCCCGGGUCAGAAGCCAGGAGAGGAGCGCGUGGAAGGCCUGGGAGCAGCCCUCCUUCUCCUUCAGCUGCAGGGUCUCCUGAAGCAAAGCAGGGGAUGGGGUCCUGCCUUGCCCUCCCAGGUACCCCUUCUCACCGCCUCGGCUGCGGGGACAGAGGGCGAAGGCUCACCCUGGCACCUGCCUCCAUCCCCUUAACUUGGAGGCGUGUGGGGC